rnacentral:rRNA from 1 species
UGGGGAAUAUUGCACAAUGGGCGAAAGCCUGAUGCAGCAACGCCGCGUGAGGGACGACGGCCUUCGGGUUGUAAACCUCUUUUAGCAAGGAAGAAGCGAAAGUGACGGUACUUGCAGAAAAAGCGCCGGCUAACUACGUGCCAGCAGCCGCGGUAAUACGUAGGGCGCAAGCGUUAUCCGGAAUUAUUGGGCGUAAAGAGCUCGUAGGCGGUUUGUCGCGUCUGCUGUGAAAACCCGAGGCUCAACCUCGGGCCUGCAGUGGGUACGGGCAGACUAGAGUGCGGUAGGGGAGAUUGGAACUCUUGGUGUAGCGGUGGAAUGCGCAGAUAUCAGGAAGAACACCGAUGGCGAAGGCAGAUCUCUGGGCCGUAACUGACGCUGAGGAGCGAAAGGGUGGGGAGCAAACAGGCUUAGAUACCCUGGUAGUCCACCCCGUAAACGUUGGGAACUAGUUGUGGGUCCAUUCCACGGAUUCCGUGACGCAGCUAACGCAUUAAGUUCCCCGCCUGGGGAGUACGGCCGCAAGGCUAAAACU